GUCAACCGCGUUUAACCCGAACCCUUCAAGGUCACCCAAGUUGAGUUUCACGUCGAAGGUAUCAACGUCAACGAAAGUCAAUCUUAAUCGAACCUAACAUACAUGGAUAAAAAUAUAAACCAUGGAAAGACACGUUAGUGAGUUAUUGGAGGGCGAGAGUCCCAAAAUGUACAAAUGCAGCGGCAGUCAACUUCAUCACUGCCCCUUCGGCACAUAUAAGGCUGAACAAUAUAUGGUCAACAACUACAUCAAAGGUCAACAACCACAUCAAAGGUCAUGCUUCAGUGAGGCACAGAGAGUUCACAAUCAUGAAGUAUGGCUUCAGUUGUAGAAAUGCGACACACUUUCAUUGUUGCUAUUGCACGGCACGUUUCUGAAGCACCUGACAUACCAUCAGCAUCCAGUGGCCCUUCAAGAGCACCCAGAGGCCCGGUGUUAUGUUAUUUAGUAAAGAUGAUGUAGAUGUCACCCGGGUCUCUGAUGUCUUUACUGGAACUGGUAUAACUUAAUGUAAACUCAAAAAAAGAAACGUCCCUUUUUCAGGACCCUGUCUUUCAAAGAUAAUUCGUAAAAAUCCACCUAUGCACCUGUG